GGAAGAUGUAACGGGGCUAAACCAUGCACCGAAGCUGCGGCAGCGACGCUUAGGCGUUGUUGGGUAGGGGAGCGUUCUGUAAGCCGUUGAAGGUGGCCUGUGAGGGUUGCUGGAGGUAUCAGAAGUGCGAAUGCUGACAUGAGUAACGAUAAAGCGGGUGAAAAACCCGUUCGCCGAAAGACCAAGGGUUCCUGUCCAACGUUAAUCGCCGCAGGGUGAGCCGACCCCUAAGGCGAGGCUGAANNNNNNNNNNNNNNNNNNNNNGGUUAAUAUUCCCGUACUGGUGUAUAUUGCGAUGGGGUGACGGAGAAGGCUAGGUUUACCGGGAUAGGUCCGCAAGGAGCCCGGGUUAAGCAUGUAGGGGUGUGAUUAGGCAAAUCCGGUCACUGAUACCCUGAGGUGUGAUGACGAGGCACUAAGGUGCUGAAGUAAUUGAUGCCCUGCUUCCAGGAAAAACCUCUAAGCUUCAGAUAUACAUUAAUCGUACCCGAAACCGACACAGGUGGUCAGGUAGAGAAUACCAAGGCGCUUGAGAGAACUCUGGUGAAGGAACUAGGCAAAAUGGUGCCGUAACUUCGGGAGAAGGCACGCUGAUGGUAAUUGAAGUCCCUUGCGGAUGGAGGUGAAGUCAGUCGAAGAUACCAGCUGGCUGCAACUGUUUAAUAAAAACACAGCACUGUGCAAACACGAAAGUGGACGUAUACGGUGUGACGCCUGCCCGGUGCUGGAAGGUUAAUUGAUGGGGUUAGCGUAAGCGAAGCUCUGGAUCGAAGCCCCAGUAAACGGCGGCCGUAACUAUAACGGUCCUAAGGUAGCGAAAUUCCUUGUCGGGUAAGUUCCGACCUGCACGAAUGGCGUAACGACUUCCCCACUGUCUCCAGCACAUGCUCAGCGAAAUUGAAUUCUCCGUGAAGAUGCGGAGUACCCGCGGUUAGACGGAAAGACCCCGUGCACCUUUACUGCAGCUUCAGAGUGGCAUUAGGAAAGAACUGUGUAGCAUAGGUGGGAGGCUUUGAAGCAUUGGCGCCAGCCGGUGUGGAGCCAUAGGUGAAAUACCACCCUGUUGUUGUCUACUGUCUAACCUCG
rnacentral:rRNA from 1 species